UACGAAGGGGGGCUAGCGUUGCUCGGAAUCACUGGGCGUAAAGGGUGCGUAGGCGGGUCUUUUAAGUCAGGGGGUGAAAUCCUGGAGCUCAACUCCAGAACUGCCUUUGAUACUGAAGAUCUUGAGUUUCGGGAGAGGUGAGUGGAACUGCGAGUGUAGAGGUGAAAAUUCGUAGAUAUUCGCAAGAACACCAGUGGCGAAAGGCGGCUCACUGGCCCGAUACUGACGCUGAGGCACGAAAGCGUGGGGAGCAACAG
rnacentral:rRNA from 1 species